rnacentral:rRNA from 2 species
GUCAAAUAUAUUAAAAUUUACGAUGGAUACCUAGGCAUUUAGAGUCGAUGAAGGGCGUGGAUACCAACGAAAUGCUUCGGUUAGUUGGAAACAAACUUUGAUCCGAAGAUUCCCGAAUAGGAAAACCUAUAUAACUACUUAAUGAAUUCAUAAUUAAGUAAGAGACAACCUGCUGAAUUGAAACAUCUUAGUAAGCAGAGGAAAAGAAAGCAAACGCGAUUUCCUUAGUAGCGGCGAGCGAAACGGAAAUAGUCUAAUCAUUGAAAAAAAAACUAUUAAACGAAGCAGCUGAAUCCUGCACCAUAGAUGGUGAAAGUCCAGUAGUUUAAAAUAGAAAAAAAUGAUUAUAAAGUAGCAUGGAACACGUGAAAUUCCGUGUGAAUAUACGAGGACCACCUCGUAAGACUAAAUACUCCUAAAUGACCGAUAGUGAAACAGUACCGUGAGGGAAAGGUGAAAAAGAACCCCUGUAGGGGAGUGAAAAAGAACAUGAAAUCGUAAAUUGACAAUCAGUGGGAGCUAAAGUGACCGCGUGCCUGUUGAAGAAUGAGCCGGCGACUUAUAGGUAGUGGCCAGGUUAAAAUAACUUUUUGGAGCCAAAGCGAAAGCAAGUCUGAUAAGGGCGUCUGUCACUAUUUAUAGACCCGAACCCGAGUGAUCUAACCAUGGCCAGGAUGAAUCUUGGGUAACACCAAGUGGAAGACCGAACCGACUGAUGUUGAAAAAUCAGCGGAUGAGCUGUGGUUAGGGGUGAAAUUCCAGUCGAACUCGGAGCUAGCUGGAUCUCCUCGAAAUGUGUUGAGGCGCAGCGGUUGAUGACGGGCUAUUUAGGGGUAAAGCACUGUUUCGGUGCGGGCUGCGAAAGCGGUACCAAAUCGUGGCAAACUAAGAAUACUAAAUAUGCUUUCCAUCAACCAGUAAGACAGUGGGGGAUAAGCUUCAUUGUCAAAAGGGAAACAGCCCAGAUCACCAGUUAAGGCCCCAAAGUGAUGGCUAAGUGAUAAAGGAAGUAAAAAGGCAAAGACAACCAGAAGGUUUGCUUAGAAGCAGCCAUCCUUGAAAGAGUGCGUAAUAGCUCACUGGUAGAGCCUUUUUGCGCCGAAAAUGAACGGGGCUAAGUCAUCCGCCGAAACUGUGGGUUACAGUUAAAAUACUGUUACGGUAGAGGAGCGUUCCGUUAUAGGGUGAAGUUAAAAUGUGAAUUUUAAUGGACGAAACGGAAGUGAGAAUGUCGGCUUGAGUAACGAAAACAUUGGUGAGAAUCCAAUGCCCCGAAAACCUAAGGGUUCCUUCACAAGGUUCGUCCAUGGAGGGUUAGUCAGGACCUAAGGCGAGAUCGAAAGGUGUAGUCGAUGGAAAACAGAUUAAUAUUCCUGUACUUGAUUAGGUUUGGUAAAGAGGGACGGAGAAGGCGGUAACUAGCUAGAUAUUGGUAUUCUAGUAGAAGUAUUGAAUUCUUAAAACAAUGAAAAAAAACUUUGUUUAGAAAACAUGCGACCUGACUGGAACUUUAUUAUAUAAAGUUUCGGUUUAGUUUUAGUCAUACUUCCAAGAAAAGCUCUUAUUACCAUUAAAUUUAAUCAACCUGUACCCUAAACUGACACAAGUAGGUAGGUAGAGAAUACUAAGGGGCGCGAGAUAACUCUCUCUAAGGAACUCGGCAAAAUGGCCCCGUAACUUCGGGAGAAGGGGUGCCUAUAUUAUAUAGGCCGCAGUGACCAGGCCCAGGCGACUGUUUAUCAAAAACACAGGUCUCCGCAAAGUCGUAAGACAAUGUAUGGGGGCUGACGUCUGCCCAGUGCCGGAAGGUAAAAGAAGUUGGUUAUUCCUCGGAAAAAGCUGACGACUGAAGCCCCGGUGAACGGCGGCUGUAACUCUGACAGUCCUAAGGUAGCGAAAUUCCUUGUCGAGUAAGUUUCGACCCGCACGAAAGACGUAACGAUCUGGGCACUGUCUCGGAGAGAGACUCGGUGAAAUAGAAAUGUCUGUGAAGAUGCGGACUACUUAUACCAGGACAGAAAGACCCUAUGAAGCUUGACUGUAAUUUGGAAUUGGAUUCGGGCUUUUUUUGCGCAGUCUAGGUGGGAGGCGUUGAUAUUAAGUUUUCGGACUUAAUUGAGCCAUCAGUGAGAGACCACUCUAAAAGAGCUAGAAUUCUAAUAGGAUUCCUUGAAUCAGGAUCCUUGACAGUUUCAGAUGGACAGUUUGACUGGGGCGGUGACCUCCCAAAAGGUAACGGAGGUGUGCAAAGGUUCCCUCAAGCUGGACGGAAAUCAGCUGUAGAGUGCAAAGGUAUAAGGGAGCUUGACUGCAAGACCAACAAGUCGAGCAGAGGCGAAAGCCGGCCUUAGUGAUCCGACGGUUCCGAGUGGAAGGGCCGUCGCUCAACGGAUAAAAGUUACUCUAGGGAUAACAGGCUGAUCUCCCCCAAGAGUUCACAUCGACGGGGAGGUUUGGCACCUCGAUGUCGUUUCAUCGCAACCUGGGGCUGGAGUAGGUCCCAAGGGUUGGGCUGUUCGCCCAUAAAAGCGGUACGUGAGAUGGGUUCAGAACGUCGCGAGACAGUUCGGUCCAUAUCCGGUAUAAGCGUAAGAGCAUUGAGAGGAUCUCAACAUUGUACGAGAGGACCCGAAGGGACGUACCGAUGGUGUACCAGUUCUUAUGCCAAUAGGAAACGCUGGGUAGCUAUGUACGGAGUGGAUAAUCGCUGAAAGCAUUUAAGUGAGAAGCCCACCUCAAGAUGAAUGCUCUCUAUUAGAUCGCGGCAAGACAAGCCGAUAGAUUGGCAUCAAGUGUAAGAUUAGUAAUAAUUUCAGCUGAGAUGUACAAAGGAUCGAUUGAUUUUGAC